AACGAACGCUGGCGGCAGGCCUAACACAUGCAAGUCGAACGCUCCAGCAAUGGAGAGUGGCAGACGGGUGAGUAACGCGUGGGAACCUUCCCUAUGGUUCGGAAUAGCUCAGGGAAACUUGAGGUAAUACCGGAUAAGCCCUUCGGGGAAGGAUUUAUCGCCAUUGGAUGGGCCCGCGUAGGAUUAGCUAGUUGGUGAGGUAACGGCUCACCAAGGCGACGAUCCUUAGCUGGUCNGAGAGGAUGAUCAGCCACACUGGGACUGAGACACGGCCCAGACUCCUACGGGAGGCAGCAGUGGGGAAUAUUGGACAAUGGGCGCAAGCCUGAUCCAGCCAUGCCGCGUGAGUGACGAAGGCCUUAGGGUUGUAAAGCUCUUUUGGCGGGGAAGAUAAUGACGGUACCCGCAGAAUAAAGCUCCGGCUAACUUCGUGCCAGCCGCCGCCGUAA
rnacentral:rRNA from 1 species